UACGGAGGGGGCAAGCGUUGUUCGGAAUUACUGGGCGUAAAGGGCGCGCAGGCGGCUGCUCAAGUCAGGCGUGAAAGGCCUGGGCUCAACCCGGGAAUUGCGCUUGAGACUGGGCUGGCUUGAGUGCGGGAGAGGAGACUGGAAUUCCUGGUGUAGCGGUGAAAUGCGCAGAUAUCAGGAGGAACACCGGUGGCGAAGGCGGGUCUCUGGGCCGAUACUGACGCUGAGGAGCGAAAGCGUGGGGAGCGAACAGG
rnacentral:rRNA from 1 species